rnacentral:rRNA from 1 species
CUACGUGCCAGCAGCCGCGGUAAUACGGAAGGUCCAGGCGUUAUCCGGAUUUAUUGGGUUUAAAGGGAGCGUAGGCCGUGGAUUAAGCGUGUUGUGAAAUGUAGACGCUCAACGUCUGAAUUGCAGCGCGAACUGGUUCACUUGAGUAUGCACAACGUAGGCGGAAUUCGUCGUGUAGCGGUGAAAUGCUUAGAUAUGACGAAGAACUCCGAUUGCGAAGGCAGCUUACGGGAGCACAACUGACGCUGAAGCUCGAAGGUGCGGGUAUCAAACAGGAUUAGAUACCCUGGUAGUCCGCACAGUAAACGAUGGAUGCCCGUUGUUAGUUCACUUAAGAAUUAGCGACCAAGCGAAAGCAUUAAGCAUCCCACCUGGGGAGUACGCCGGCAACGGUGAAACUCAAAGGAAUUGACGGGGGCCCGCACAAGCGGAGGAACAUGUGGUUUAAUUCGAUGAUACGCGAGGAACCUUACCCGGGCUUGA